GUCUAUGGCCAUACCACCCUGAAUGCGCCCGAUCUCGUCUGAUCUCGGAAGCUAAGCAGGGUCGGGCCUGGUUAGUACUUGGAUGGAGAUGGAGGUGGGGGCAGAAU
rnacentral:rRNA from 1 species